GUGUUUGCUUAGGCAGCACAUAUACUAAAAUUGUAAUCAUGCAGAGAUUAGCAUGGGCCUCUCUGCAAGGAUGACACGCAAAUUUGUGAAGUGUUCUGUAUUUUU